GACAGAUGUCAAACGUCAAACUAUUAUGUUUACGUUAAGAAACUACUAAAGAUUUAACUCUGUCGAUAAUAAUCGAUAGAUUCUCAAUUAAAAUGAAAGUAACAGUGUUAUCGCGUAAUUUUGAUUCUUCAACUGACUCGUUAUGUUGUAAUUGGAAGGUCCCUCUUACUCCUCUUAGGAAUGGAAAAUGGACAAAAAUCCGGAAAGCUUCGGUUCCGAUAUUUAUUCUUCAAUCGGACUUCUUUGAAUCUGGUGUAGUAACUGCCAUCAGAAAUCUUUCAGGAACACAGGCUAUAUAAAAUCUUGAUUCGACGUGAAAUUUGGAUUGAAUUAUCUAAGUUAAGAUAGUUCUUGGUAUAUUGUGGCGAUAACAUAAUGGGAGAAACUCUGAGGAGGUACAUAUUCUGGAGAUUUUGUCACCAUCGACCGCUUUAACUACGACUAGCUAUUGCUUGCAAGAAGACGAAGUGAAUACCCCAAGGAGUCAGCACAAAGAAACCGCAGAGGACCCGAACUGAAUGGUAAAUUUACAUCUACUCGCCAAGCUUACAUACACAUCAAUUCCGCGAUUUUAUUUUUAAAAAAAUUAAAAAGCUUCAAAUUCUAAGAAUUGAGAAAGAGAUUUUAUUCAAAACUAAGUAACUUCUAUACUUUUAUUAAUAAUAUUUUGAAUAAUUUCUUGACUUUACGAUUCCAAUUCAAAUCAAUUCAAAAACAAUUUACAACUGCUUCUCUAUAUUCACUUAGGGUUUAGUUGUUUGUUCACUUUGAAGGUAAUCCUUCCCCUGUUAUUUGCAGGGUCGUGCUUUCUAUUUACAAUGCGCGAAGGUGUACUUGAUGGAAAUAUGAAAACAUGAAAAUGUAAUUUUGGUGGAAAAUACGUCACAUCCAUGUUGCUCCACAGAAUUACGAGUACUGGGACUCAAUUUAAUAGCUUUUCAGAUCAAUACUAUUAUCUAGAUUUAGUGAAAAAAUUGAUUUAUAAAAUUAAUUCAUUACAUUAACGUAUUUAUUCAUCUAUGCGAAAUAAUAUGUGAUAUUACAGAACAUAUUUUUUCAUCCCCAAGGGGAUGUAUCAAAAAUUUAUUGACGGAGUCGAUUUUUUUUUGGUUACUUUUGCGGCUAUUGUGAACAGGACGCCAGUAAUAUCUUUUACGCUCGAAGAGUUCAGCAUUUAUUAUGCAAAUACAAUAACGGGGCACCAGUGCGCUUGAUAGAGUGCACAUUGCGAUAUUACGACAGUGCUAAAGCUCGAUUUGCAUACACAUUUCAGAUCUGACUUCGAGAAUUUCUUUUUUAUGUGUGAACGUUUUCUUUACACCCAUCACUUUUUUUGCAAUCAAUUUUAAAUGAUCGAGAGAUAAAAAAUGUUCAUUUUCAGUCCCAAUAACAGUUAUAUAAAUCGAUAGUUAAUUUUGGAACCCGUGAACUGAGUAUUGUUAAAAGUUACAACGAUGUACAUCAACAAUAACCUGUAGCAGUAAUAGCAGGAAAUACACGUAAAUUUUUAUAUCUGGAUGACCUGUCACAAACAAUAUGACCAGUUUUACUUUGCUCUGGGGAAUAAUAUCGUUUUGUGACACGUAAUUUUCGCACUGUGUGAAACCGUGUUUUAUGGAACAAACUUGGUAAUCUUGCUUUAGAUAUAGAUGUUGUGAAUUACAUCGAUAGAGAAUAAAUUCAAAUCAAUGGUAAUCUUAGCUGCAAACUUAGAGUUAAAUUACAGUAAUGAAACCACAAAUGUAGCAGCAAUUUGGCAGAUUGGCCAUAAGAGAACCACAUAAACCGUUACCUCAACAAUGACAGAGCUUUACUCUGCCCGCAAAUGACAUGUUGAGACCUCAACCUCCCGUCGCAACAUCACCUGGAUAAUGGUAUAAAUGUCAAUCAAUAUAGACAUUUCAACUAUAAAAGAUCGGCUUCAGGAAUGUAGCUGAUAACCAAAUAUUACCGGAAGGAAUUUAUUUGUCCGAAUUCCACCAGCUUUCAAAUUUCUCGAGUGUUUGUAGGGAAAAUUAGUUUUGAAACAGGGCAGGAAAUUCAAAUCAGUAACAAAUAAAAUUGUUAUUAUAUAUUCAUAAAAUGGCAUGAAACGGUUUAUAACAAAGGUUUAUACAAUGGUUUACUCGAAAAUUAAAACUUGUGGAUCAGAAGAAUAUAAAUAAAAAUUGCACCUAAUAAAUCACAAAAGCAUAAUAUAUAAAAGAUUUUUUUCCAACUAUUUCGCAUUUUUAGUUAUACAUCUAAAGCUCCCCACAACGCUAAAUCGACGUUUUUGGUUAAAACUCUUUAUUAUAGCUCUAAAACUAUAAGUGCUAGGACAAAAUGUGGUAAAUGGAAAUUGUUUGCAAUAAGUAAUAAACCAACAAAACGUUAUCCGUAAGCGAUUAUAACCCUGCGUUGAGAAAAUCUAAAAUUUUUUAUAUGUUUUAAAUAUAAAAAAUAAUGUAAGUUUUUUUAUUUUUCGUAAAAAUCAAUCAUUGGCAUAUUUUCCUUUACAACUAUGGUAAACAACAGGAAAAUGGCCCCUUUUAUAAUCCAAGCUAAAGGACGAUACGUGCUUCGAUUCAGGAUAUUAUAACUGUCGCCCUAGUGGUGAUUAAUACCCUGUGGUAUCAGAUAGCUACGUAACAGCGCAGUUCCAUGGCGAGAAAUAUAUAACUAAAGAUAACUUGAAACAGUAUCAUAAAAGUAUUUUCGGCAAAUAGAUAAAAAGAUAUAUGUAUGUAUAGGGGAGGUUUAAAAAAAUAAAAAAAUUUUAAAUCCAUUUCGGCAAACUAAUUUUGGUGGAGGCGCCGGGCAAACAACAUUAAUCACGAACUGAUUUCUAAUAAUUAAAAAGACAAUUUAUUUUCGAAUAAUAUUAGUUAUUAGAUUCUCUAGCACCCUUGUUUUGCAUUUGAUUAUCAAACAUCGAUGUUGCCCGUAAUACAAUCAAUAUAGUUGAAUGAAUUUCAUCCCUAAUAAAUGUUAUCUUUCAUGUUGUUGCUGGGUAUUUUUCGAUUUAUUUAGGUAUUGUUAUAACAAUUAGAUUGCAGGUAUUUCAUUCUAGGUUGUUAUCAAUUGGUAUAAUUAACCCCCGAAGCGUUCAAGUUGGUAAUUAAUCUUCCAUCGGUAAACCAUGAGCUUAAUUAAGUGGGGGUUUCUCCUUAGUAUAGCUACCUCAUAGGGGAAAAUUAAAGAUUCUAUCUCGUUUGUAAGAAUUUUAGGUUAAAAAAUAAAACGUGAUUAAGUAUAAUGAUUAUAAGUAAUUUUCGAUAUCAUGAUUUAAGUACAUAAACUAUAAGCUCUAAGUAGUGAACACCUAUUAUUUAGUAGUUUAACAUUAUUCUGGUUGUAGAUAUGCGUGUAAUGUGAAUCCUGCUUGAUAUCUGAUGCACGAGUAUGUUGUUACCGUGCACUGCACUGGGUGGGAUACUAAUCAACUCUGGCAAUCUGUAUUCAGAUCGGUUUGUGCUACAAAACACGCUUAACUUUUCAUUAAACUACAACGUAACGUAACUCGUUUGAUUGAUAUGUUUAGACCCGAUUAUCACUGUUGUUUCCAUCUUUACGCUAGCAAUAAUUUUUUUAAAACAUCAUCAAAAUGCGCCCAUAUUUAGAUUCACUUCUAAUUGGACGUUACGAGACAUUUUUAGCUUAAUGAAAAUACAUGUAGAAAAGUAAUAAAUUUGCACGUCCGCCUCACCGUUCCGCAUUUUACUGAAGAUAAAUAACGGUAGAGUUCAGUACUAGUUCAAAAAGUUUUCUACAGCAUAUAACAAAAAGUUAUUUUUAGAAAAUCAAUUCCGCUCAUCCGAUGAUUAAAUUAAUAACGCGUGACGCUAUUAUAAUUUCGCAUACAAAACAAAGACUAACCGUAUUCUGACAAAGAACAUGUCAUAUCUCCUCCUGACGUGCGAACUGUUGGCUACUACAUUUUCAGGUUUAACAGAUAAAUUUCCAUUCUUAUAUAUAUUAAUCGAUAAAUACCAAUUUCAGCACGAAACUAGCAUUUAGGUAGUUAUAGAUUUGAGAUGAAUCGGUUUUAAUAAACAAUGUAUUUCACAAAAAGUAGACAUAUUUAAAAUGAAUUGUUUGUUUUUAUCGGAAAUAUUGCUAUAAACGAUUUCGUUUUUUUAUUGCAA
rnacentral:lncRNA from 1 species